GCACAAUGGGUUGAAAGCCUGAUGCAGCGACGCCGCGUGAGGGAUGACGGCCUUCGGGUUGUAAAGCUCUUUCAGCAGGGACGAAGCGUGAGUGACGGUACCUGCAGAAGAAGCACCGGCUAACUACGUGCCAGCAGCCGCGGUAAUACGUAGGGUGCAAGCGUUGUCCGGAAUUACUGGGCGUAAAGAGUUCGUAGGCGGUUUGUCACGUCGUUUGUGAAAACUCACAGCUCAACUGUGAGCCUGCAGGCCGAUACGGGCAGACUUGAGUACUGCAGGGGAGACUGGAAUUCCUGGUGUAGCCGGUGAAAUGCGCAGAUAUCAGGAGGAACACCGGUGGCGAAGGCGGGUCUCUGGGCAGUAACUGACGCUGAGGAACGAAAGCGUGGGUAGCGAACAGGAUUAGAUACCCUGGUAGUCCACGCCGUAAACGGUGGGCGCUAGGUGUGGGUUCCUUCCACGGGAUCCGUGCCGUAGCUAACGCAUUAAGCGCCCCGCCUGGGGAGUACGGCCGCAAGGCUAAAACUCAAAGGAAUUGACGGGGGCCCGCACAAGCGGCGGAGCAUGUGGAUUAAUUCGAUGCAACGCGAAGAACCUUACCUGGGUUUGACAUAUACCGGAAAGCUGCAGAGAUGUGGCCCCCCUUGUGGUCGGUAUACAGGUGGUGCAUGGCUGUCGUCAGCUCGUUCGUGAGAGUA
rnacentral:rRNA from 1 species